GUUCUGGUACUAAGGUCUUGUUCUCCAAUUGGUUCUUGAUUUGUCAGUAAAGAAAGCCGGAGAGCCAGCUGCUGGGUGGAAGGUACAAGCGGGGCUUCCAGGUCCCUGGAGGAAAAAGGAGACACAAGGAAGGAGAACAGGUUUUUUUCCUGCCAUGCUUCGGAGGAAGAAGAAUGCAAUAAGGUCUCAGAGAGAGCUGUGGCUGUGGCCACCCCUGCAUCAGGGAGGGAGAUAUCUGUGCCCAGCAAUUGUGCCAAGAAGGCAAAUUAUAAAGGUACAAACUGUGUGUCUUUUAUCCACGGAUUCAAGGACCUAGUAGCGCAACCACCUCCUGGAGUAAAGGCAGAAGGAGGCGACUCAGCCAGACCCACCCGUGGCCACGAAUGGACAGCAGAAUUCGGAAUCUACAUGGAAGAUUGUGCUAACAUGCACCGUUUUUGCAAUCGGAUUAAAAACUCCCUUUUCUUGUUUUAUUUUUAUUUAUGUGUGUGUGUCUGUGGGUGUGUGCUCAUGAAUGCAAGUGCCCAAAGAAGUCAAAAGAGGGCUUGGCCCUGGAGUUACAGGGCUUGUAAGCUGCCUUACAUGUGAGCACCCCCAAGUACACGGUCUUAACCU